GGCCGGCGUGCUGGCACAGCUGCACGGGGAGAUAGCUUUGGCGCCAUCGUUUAGGCUGUGUUUGCUGAGAAUGCUAUUUCACUCCACCGAUAGUUUGACAGUACAGGAAUUUCAACGGGAGGAAGCCUCUGUUCAGAACUGGAUCUGUUACAGGACAUUGUGACGUUACUGCAGAAACACUGAUACUUGACUGAGAAUAGCAAGGAUGGGAAGUCAACUCUUAGCAGCGAGUACUGAUGCCCUGUCAGAUCCAGCGCUAAUCUCAUCUUGCUCUGCAGUGCGCUUCCCACUGUGGCCGUACUGCUGGCCGGCCU
rnacentral:lncRNA from 1 species